GACGAACGCUGGCGGCGCGCUUAACACAUGCCAGUCGAACGGAAAGGCCUGCUUUCCCUUGUGGAUUGCGGGUACUCGAGUGGCGAACGGGUGAGUAACACGUGAGUGAUCUGCCCCCAACUUGGGUAUAAGCCUGGGAAACUGGGUCUAAUUCCCGAUAGGACUGCAGGGUGGUGCCUGUGGUGGAAAACGAUUUUCUAGUGGUUGGGGAUGAGCUCGCGGCCUAUCAGCUUGUUGGUGGGGUAAUGGCCUACCAAGGCGGCGACGGGUAGCCGGCCUGAGAGGGUGGACGGCCACAUUGGGACUGGGAUACGGCCCAGACUCCUACGGGAGGCAGCAGUGGGGAAUAUUGCACAAUGGGCGGAAGCCUGAUGCAGCGACGCCGCGUGGGGGAUGACGGCCUUCGGGUUGUAAACUCCUUUCGACCGCGAGGAAGCCACCUGGUUGGAAGGGUGGUGACGGUAGUGGUAGAAGAAGCACCGGCUAACUACGUG
rnacentral:rRNA from 1 species